AUCGUAUUGUGUACAUAGUCAGCAUCUGCCGGCGGCCCUCAUGAUGAUUUGUUUAAUUCAUAGUUCCUCUGGUCCGCACCAGUUCUAAUCACCAACCUUGGCAGUCCGCCAGCAGGGACCCUCACUGAGUCUGGGGACACCCGGCGGGAGCGACAGCUCAGGAGAUCCGCAAGAACGGCCCGGCGUGUCUCCAGAGUCGCAUCCGCGCCCGCCGUACCCCACCCCUUACAGCACAGCGUCACGAGAAAGACCCAACCCCCGACCCGGAUGAGCUGAACAAGGGUAGCAGGGGGAGGUGACAUGGAGACCAACAGUAGGACAGAGAAGAAUGAAGAAGUUUUACUGCAUGACACCAUAAGGGCGGCCAAAUGGUCCAGAACACCAGCAUUUCCAGGAAGAUAUCCCCUACCUGAUGUUAUGGAGGUGGAAGACACAAAACGAAACACAGAAAAAACUGUGACUUCAUGAGUGAAGGGGAAGAGAAUCAUGGAGCUGAGGGAUCCUUUAAUGUCUUCCUGUCAGUUGAAAAGUGACUGAAGCAUUUUUUUGUGAGGAAUUUAAAGGUGUAUGUGUGUUUUGAGGAGCAAUAAACCUAGUUUUGGCUGUUUGUUUCUUGGAAAAAAAAUGUCUUGUCUGCAUGCUGCAUUGCAAUGCCACAGUCAUUGAGAUGCAGUUUGAAGGCCACAGAAAUGAUUACGUACGCAAUUUUCUUGGUGGAACCUGGGCGUAGUAAUACUUUAUCUUGUUAUAUAAUUUUACAUAAACAAGCAAGACAUUGAUCAAUGAAUGACAAGUGCAUUUGAUAAGUUGAACUUUAUUUCAGAGCCAAAUAAUUUUGUUUUUUUUUCAGUUUGCCUUUCUUGUUCCUGUCGCCAUAUGUAAAAGGGAGCAUUUUUCUGUAACAAAAUAAUGUUAAAGCAAGAAUUUACAUAUCCUGAGGGAUGAUAUUAUUUGUGUAUUUACGUGUAACAAGCACAAAAGCUGGUCAAAAUUUGUAUUGGUCUCGUGUAAAAUGCAGCUUAGAUACUCAUUUCUGCACAUAUUUAGGUGCGUCCAAGUCUGAAUGAUGGUCACACGUAUUUAAAGUUAAAGUCCAACAAUUGUUCUCCUCAUUUGGGCCAUCCCCGGGAGGAAAGAUGACCUCAUAGACCGUAAAAUAUAAACGGUCUACGGGUGUGCAGACAGCCGCUCUCACAAUCCUUCCUCCGGUCCGUGAGGAACGAAGUUCAGCGCUGGCUACACGUAUUUAGGCAAUGACGUGCACGUCACUUUCUAUCCUAAACUCAAAAUAAUACAUUUUCUCCUAAAUUAUAAAAUGUGUACAUGUCAGGCCUUUAAUAAAUUAAACAGACUAAAUCAUCACCU
rnacentral:lncRNA from 1 species